rnacentral:rRNA from 1 species
UGGGGAAUAUUGGACAAUGGGGGCAACCCUGAUCCAGCAAUGCCGCGUGUGUGAAGAAGGUCUUCGGAUUGUAAAGCACUUUCGACGGGGACGAUGAUGACGGUACCCGUAGAAGAAGCCCCGGCUAACUUCGUGCCAGCAGCCGCGGUAAUACGAAGGGGGCUAGCGUUGCUCGGAAUGACUGGGCGUAAAGGGCGUGUAGGCGGUUUACACAGUCAGAUGUGAAAUCCCCGGGCUUAACCUGGGAGCUGCAUUUGAUACGUGUAGACUAGAGUGUGAGAGAGGGUUGUGGAAUUCCCAGUGUAGAGGUGAAAUUCGUAGAUAUUGGGAAGAACACCGGUGGCGAAGGCGGCAACCUGGCUCAUGACUGACGCUGAGGCGCGAAAGCGUGGGGAGCAAACAGGAUUAGAUACCCUGGUAGUCCACGCUGUAAGCGAUGUGUGCUAGAUGUUGGGUAACUUUGUUAUUCAGUGUCGCAGUUAACGCGUUAAGCACACCGCCUGGGGAGUACGGCCGCAAGGUUGAAAC